AAGGACCAGAACAUAGACUACUGUGACUGUUGCUCUCUGAACUGGGGAAGAAUGGUUGUUACUACAAGAACAAUGUUCCGAGGUCAUCAAAGUUAAGUGCUUAAAUAGUCCACGCAUCUCAGCUCAACAAACAUUUACUGAGUACCCAGCAUUAUGGCUUACACUUCAAAAAGUUCUGGCAGAAGACACAGAGG